rnacentral:rRNA from 1 species
UACAGAGGUCUCAAGCGCUGUUCGGAUUCAUUGGGCGUAAAGGGUGCGUAGGCGGCGCGGUAAGUCGGGUGUGAAAUCUCGGAGCUUAACUCCGAAACUGCAUUCGAUACUGCCGUGCUUGAGGACUGGAGAGGAGACUGGAAUUUACGGUGUAGCGGUGAAAUGCGUAGAUAUCGUAAGGAAGACCAGUGGCGAAGGCGGGUCUCUGGACAGUUCCUGACGCUGAGGUGCGAAAGCGUGGGGAGCAAACAGG